CCGAAGUUUCCCUCAGGAUAGCUGGAGCUCGAGAACAGUUUUAUCAGGUAAAGCGAAUGAUUAGAGGCAUUGGGGUUGAAACAACCUUAACCUAUUCUCAAACUUUAAAUAGGUAAGAAGUCUGACUUGCUUAGGUGAAGCCAGACAUAGAAUGUUGGAGUUCCAAGUGGGCCAUUUUUGGUAAGCAGAACUGGCGAUGCGGGAUGAACCGAACGCGAAGUUAAGGUGCCAAAAUCGACGCUCAUCAGAACCCACAAAAGGUGUUGGUUGAUUUAGACAGCAGGACGGUGGUCAUGGAAGUCGAAACCCGCUAAGGAGUGUGAACGAGUUCUUACGCACUCUAGAGCCCCCGGCCGCGUUUGAUUAAUUGGUUUAAUGUUCACUUGAAACAUGGUAUUCAGCUACCUGUUUGAAUGGAGCUUCAUUACAUUAAUCAAACACGGGAGCUAGUCGACCAGUCCUCACAAGUGCAGGUGACUGGCGGCGAGACAACCUGGAACGAGAGAGGCUAAGUCACCUUUGAUGGUUGAUAUGCCAAUCCCGUGGCGAGUCCAAGUGCAAGUGCACUUUGUGACCGUCGUACAGCACGGAAAGGUGUCGGUGAGGCAGCGGGUUUGUGUGAAAAAAAAACAAAUCACUGCUUUGCUUGAGGGACGUGCGAGACCCUGGCGAAAGCCAGUUUCUUCUUCUGAGCGCUGCAACGCAAGGAGGUGGAGAGACCAAAGCUUUUCACAAAAGUUACUUAAAUUCGGAGAGGAAAUGCUCCGAGUGAACACAAAAAAGAAAAGACAGAAAAGUUUGGUUGGUAAAUCAAGUCGGUAAAAACUCACCUGCCGAAUCAACUAGCCCUGAAAAUGGAUGGCGCUUAAGCGUCGUACCGAUACUUCGCCGCCGGUGUAAAUGCGAGACACCGGCGAGUAGGUGGGCGCGGGGGUUGUGAAGAAGCCUAGGGCGUGAGCCUGGGUCGAACGGCCCUUGGUGCAGAUCUUGGUGGUAGUAGCAAAUAUUCAAAUGAGAACUUUGAAGACUGAAGUGGAGAAAGGUUCCAUGUGAACAGCAGUUGGACAUGGGUUAGUCGAUCCUGAGAGAUAGGGAAACUCCGUUUCAAAGUGCGAAAUUUUUCGCCGCCUAUCGAAAGGGAAUCAGGUUAAUAUUCCUGAACCAGAAGGUGGCGAUAUCGUGAUGCGGCAACGCCAACCGAACUCGGAGACGCCGGCAGGGGCCCUGGGAAGAGUUCUCUUUUCUUUUUAACGAGUUGCA
rnacentral:rRNA from 1 species